rnacentral:lncRNA from 1 species
GAACGCGCCUCACGCGCGGAGAAAAACCAGAGGGAGAUCGAGAGUGCUCUCUCCCGGCCGAACGCCACCGGCUCACCUGCUACUGUGUUCCGGUCCGGGAGAGGAUGACAACAUGGUCUAGCGGCGGGUUCUAGGGCGGAAGCCUGGCUUAGGGAUGGAGGAGGGCGGCGCGAUCUCGGACGUAGAAGACCAAUCUGGACUCUUUCUUCUUGGAUCGCGGGUGACUUCCGACAUGGAACAUCGGCGAGGUGCGAUUUGCGGGCGGGGCACAUUUUUCCGGCUGCUUUUGGCGUCAUCG